rnacentral:misc_RNA from 1 species
CUGCUUACCAAGAGUAAGUUCAUGCUGUAAUUCAUAUUUAUAUAUGCUUCUGUGUACUUGCUUUUGUUUCCUUUCAACCUUUCUUUCUACCUGGUUUAUGGAAAAUCUUCUCUCUUUCUUGUUCUUUGGUGUCUUAUGCACUUUAGAUUUGCUCUGGAUCUGCAGGUUUAUAAUCCAACAUUUUUAUAUUCUAUUUUCUUCCAUUAAGAAAGUUCUGCAUUACAUGGAUAAUACAAUCUUGAAACAUUUUUAAUUUUGGUAGUUGUUAAGCUAACUCAGUACUGUUAAUAAUUUAGUCAAAG